rnacentral:ncRNA from 2 species
AUGACUAUAGCGUGAGAUAUCUUUUGAAAGGAUAGCCGAAGAAGCAAUAUGAAAAGAGCCAAAUUUCUAUAGAAACUUUCAGGCAAAAGGAGCGUUAUAUGAUG